rnacentral:rRNA from 1 species
GAUGAACGCUGGCGGCGUGCCUAAUACAUGCAAGUCGAGCGAACAGACGAGGAGCUUGCUCCUCUGACGUUAGCGGCGGACGGGUGAGUAACACGUGGAUAACCUCCCUAUAAGACUGGGAUAACUUCGGGAAACCGGAGCUAAUACCGGAUAAUAUAUUGAACCGCAUGGUUCAAUAGUGAAAGACGGUUUUGCUGUCACUUAUAGAUGGAUCCGCGCCGCAUUAGCUAGUUGGUAAGGUAACGGCUUACCAAGGCAACGAUGCGUAGCCGACCUGAGAGGGUGAUCGGCCACACUGGAACUGAGACACGGUCCAGACGCCUACGGGAGGCAGCAGUAGGGAAUCUUCCGCAAUGGGCGAAAGCCUGACGGAGCAACGCCGCGUGAGUGAUGAAGGUCUUCGGAUCGUAAAGCUCUGUUAUUAGGGAAGAACAAAUGUGUAAGUAACUAUGCACGUCUUGACGGUACCUAAUCAGAAAGCCACGGCUAACUACGUG